GCCUACGAUCAUUCCAGUCUGAAAGUGCCUGAUCUCGUCAGAUCUCAGAAGUCAUGCAGACUUGGGCCUCAUUAGUACUUGUAUGGGAGACCAACUAGGAACCUCAGGUGCCGUAAGCU
rnacentral:rRNA from 1 species